rnacentral:rRNA from 1 species
AACGAACGCUGGCGGCGUGCUUAACACAUGCAAGUCGAACGGGUCUGCCCUGUUUUUUGCGGGGUGGGUCAGUGGCGAACGGGUGAGUAACACGUGAGUAACCUGCCCCUCACUUCUGGAUAACCGCUUGAAAGGGUGGCUAAUACGGGGUGUUCUGGCUGUGCCGCAUGGUGUGGCUGGGAAAGAUUCACUUUUGUGGUGUUUUGGUGGGGGAUGGGCUCGCGGCCUAUCAGCUUGUUGGUGGGGUGAUGGCCUGCCAAGGCUUUGACGGGUAGCCGGCAUGAGGGGGUGGGCGGUCAAACUGGGACUGAGAUACGGCCCAGACUCCUGCGGGAGGCAGCAGUGGGGGGUAUUGCACAAUGGGCGGAAGCCUGAUGCAGCGACGUCGCGUGAGGGAUGGAGGCCUUCGGGUUGUGAACCUCUUUCGCCGGUGAAGAAGGUCCUGCUCUUUGUGGUGGGGUUGACGGUAGCCGGGUUAUGAAGCGCCGGCUAACUACGUG